rnacentral:rRNA from 1 species
UAAUACGUACUGUGCGAACGUUAUUCGGAAUCACUGGGCUUAAAGGGUACGUAGGCGGUUUAUCAAGUCAGGUGUGAAAUGCCUGAGCUCAACUGAGGCACUGCGCUUGAAACUGAUAAACUAGAGUAUUCCAGGGGUGUGCGGAACUGCCAGUGGAGCGGUGAAAUGCGUUGAUAUUGGCAGGAACACCGGAGGCGAAGGCGGCACACUGGGGGAUAACUGACGCUGAGGUACGAAAGCCAGGGUAGCGAACGGGAUUAGAUACCCCGGUAGUCCUGGCUGUAAACGAUGAGCACUGGGCGAGAGGAAGUUCGCUUCUUUUUGCCGUAGGGAAACCAUUAAGUGCUCCGCCUGGGGAGUAUGGUCGCAAGGCUG